rnacentral:rRNA from 1 species
GACAUCCUGGCGGCAUGUUUAACACAUGCAAGCUCGAGCGGUAGCACAGGAGAGCUUGCUCUCUGGGUGACGAGCGGCGGACGGGUGAGUAAUGUCUGGGAAACUGCCUGAUGGAGGGGGAUAACUACUGGAAACGGUAGCUAAUACCGCAUGAUGUCGCAAGACCAAAGUGGGGGACCUUCGGGCCUCACGCCAUCGGAUGUGCCCAGAUGGGAUUAGCUAGUAGGUUAGGUAAUGGCUCACCUAGGCGACGAUCCCUAGCUGGUCUGAGAGGAUGACCAGCCACACUGGAACUGAGACGCGGUCCAGACUCCUACGGGAGGCAGCAGUGGGGAAUAUUGCACAAUGGGCGCAAGCCUGAUGCAGCCAUGCCGCGUGUGUGAAGAAGGCCUUAGGGUUGUAAAGCACUUUCAGCCGAGGAGGAAGGC